UACACGCCACACGCAGCCGAUGCAUGCGCCAUACGCGAGGCAUGCCACCGAAGCGAGUGAGGCCGUCUGCAAGCGUGAUCGCUCGUCUGUUCGGCGACCCGUCUUUUUCAUUUAAUUUUUCUUUAUUUUUUGAUGUAGCCUGGUUUUUGGGCUCCCGGAGAAAAUGCGUCCCUUCUGCACUUCGCCACGGCACCCCCGCGGUAUUGGAUUACGGCAAGGGGUGUUCAACCUGUGGACGUGCAACGUGGCAUAACGCAGAUGUCAUCGAAGCACUCUGCAGGAAGGCACAGCUUGUGGAAAGCACGGACGAUGGCCGGCAGCGCCUAACCGAUCGUGCCAUCAAGGCCGCAUUUCAUUCAGAUGGCUGUACACCUAAGGCACGUUUGCGCGCAAUGCGAUACUCAAUCGGACUGGCAAUCGGACUGGCAAAACCUACAUUUCCACCUAAAGCAUGAACAGUGCUUGUGAUUGUGCCCUUCUGUGCCUGUGACUGUUGUUGUGUCCGCAACUCAGUAGCCAUGCACAUUUGCUGAACAUAAAAGUGUGUCACACGUUAC